rnacentral:lncRNA from 1 species
UAGGCAUACAGGAAAAAGAACUGCUCGCGGAAGAAACUGUGGCACCUUUUAUAGAUGGCUGCUUGCGGCUUGUGUCCAGUGACAGCUCGUUGAAUUUCCCACCGCCGGGGAAUCCUCCAAUCACGCAAGGACAUUUUGUCACAUUAGAAUGGAGUCAUUUGGUCCUGGAUUCUCUCUCAACCACAAGUGCUCCAGACAGUUGCUUCUCAUAAAGAGAUUUCAAGAUAGUGGUCUCCAGUGUCUCUUUAAAGCUCUGGAAGAUGACAGAAUAGCUAUCUCAAUCAAACCACCAUUGGCACCUUUAAAAGGACAGUGUUUGAAUACUUCCUUUUCUAAUCACUUUAGGAAAUUUAAAGGGAUAUACAGUACAAACCACAAACCAAAAGAGUGACCUGGAAAAUGUUCUUAUAUUAACAAGAGAUUCAUUCAAGUUUUGAAGAAUUUUGUGAGAAAAAAACGAAAAGAAACCAAGAUUUUAAGACAUUAUUUGAAAGGGUUAAAGAUCAAGAUUGUUAAAAGUAAAAUGAAGGACUAUAAAGUUGAUUUAUUUGAUCAAGGUUAAAAUGGAUAAUCCUUAAUGGACUUUUGCUGAUCAGAACUGAAGUAACAAGGGGAUUUUUUUUUAUAGAUAAGACAUGACAUAUGGGAAGAAGAGAUAUUUUGUUGUAUAUUAAAAAAUGAUAAGUUACUAAAAUUGCUUAUACUUGUGAUGAAGAGAGAAUUAUUUGUAUCAUUUCUUUCUUUACUAUUUUCUUAUUUUUUCUUCCUUUGCUUAUUUUUUCUAUUUUCUUUUUCU